rnacentral:lncRNA from 1 species
CUUGGUUGGUCCUCCCAUGGGGAACAGCUGCACAGCUCCUGCAUGACCUCCAGAUCUUUCAGGAAGCUAUACUGAGCAUGCAGAGUGCUGGAAGUCAUUUAUUGCUUCUAAUCCAAGGACACUGGCUGGUCACCUGCAGUGAUGAGGAAGAAACUGUCUAAAUACAUUUGAAUAUGUAAAUGAAGGCUAUCUGGAGCCAAGUCUGAGCUGCUUUCUGGAUGCUAUGCAAGUUUUGCUGCAGUGAUUACUGAGCGUUUCCACAGAAAGGUAGCAAUUACCACUGCAAC